UACAGAGGUCUCAACCGUUGUUCGGAUUCAUUGGGCGUAAAGGGUGUGUAGGUGGCGAUGUUAGUCUUCUGUCAAAUUCUUCGGCUUAACCGGGGGUCCGCAGGGGAAACGGCAUUGCUCGAGGAUGCGAGGGGUGAAUGGAACUCAUGGAGUAGGGGUGAAAUCCGUUGAUAUCAUGGGGAACACCAAAAGCGAAGGCAAUUCACUGGCGCAUUCCUGACACUGAAACACGAAAGCGUGGGUAGCGAACGGG
rnacentral:rRNA from 1 species